rnacentral:rRNA from 1 species
UAUGCCCCAAUGGGCCGCAAGCCCCAACACACCCAUGUCGGUGUAUAAGAAGAGGGCUUUACGGAUUGAAAAUUACUCUCAGCGGGGAGGAAGGCGGUGAGGUUUAAUAACCUUAAGCAAUUGACGUUACCCGCAGAAGAAGCACUGGCUAACUCCGUGCCAGCAGCCGCGGUAAUACGGAGCGUGCAAGCGUUAAUCGGAAUUACUGAGCGUAAAGCGCACGCAGGCGGUCUGUCAAGUCGGAUGUGACAUCCCCGGGCUCAACCUGGGAACUGCAUUCGAAACUGGCAGGCUAGAGUCUUGUAGAGGCGGGUAGAAUUCCAGGUGUAGCGGUGAAAUGCGUAGAGAUCUGGAGGAAUACCGGUGGCGAAGGCGGCCUCCUGGACAAAGACUGACGCUCAGGUGCGAAAGCGUGGGGAGCAAACAGGAUUAGAUACCCUGGUAGUCCACGCCGUAAACGAUGUCGACUUGGAGGUUGUGCCCUUGAGGCGUGGCUUCCGGAGCUAACGCGUUAAGUCGACCGCCUGGGGAGUACGGCCGCAAGGUUAAAACUCAAAUGAAUUGACGGGGGCCCGCACAAGCGGUGGAGCAUGUGGUUUAAUUCGAUGCAACGCGAAGAACCUUACCUACUCUUGACAUCCAGAGAACUUUCCAGAGAUGGAUUGGUGCCUUCGGGAACUCUGAGACAGGUGCUGCAUGGCUGUCGUCAGCUCGUGUUGUGAAAUGUUGGGUUAAGUCCCGCAACGAGCGCAACCCUUAUCCUUUGUUGCCAGCGGUUAGGCCGGGAACUCAAAGGAGACUGCCAGUGAUAAACUGGAGGAAGGUGGGGAUGACGUCAAGUCAUCAUGGCCCUUACGAGUAGGGCUACACACGUGCUACAAUGGCGCAUACAAAGAGAAGCGACCUCGCGAGAGCAAGCGGACCUCAUAAAGUGCGUCGUAGUCCGGAUUGGAGUCUGCAACUCGACUCCAUGAAGUCGGAAUCGCUAGUAAUCGUAGAUCAGAAUGCUACGGUGAAUACGUUCCCGGGCCUUGUACACACCGCCCGUCACACCAUGGGAGUGGGUUGCAAAAGAAGUAGGUAG